rnacentral:rRNA from 1 species
UAAGGAAUAUUGGUCAAUGGACGCAAGUCUGAACCAGCCAUGCCGCGUGAAGGAUGAAGGUCCUCUGGAUUGUAAACUUCUUUUAUCUGGGACGAAAACGGGAUUUUUAUCUCAAUUGACGGUACCAGAGGAAUAAGCACCGGCUAACUCCGUGCCAGCAGCCGCGGUAAUACGGAGGGUGCGAGCGUUAUCCGGAUUUACUGGGUUUAAAGGGUGCGUAGGUGGGCUUAUAAGUCAGUGGUGAAAUCUCCGAGCUUAACUUGGAAACUGCCGUUGAUACUAUAGGUCUUGAAUUAUCUGGAGGUUAGCGGAAUGUGUCAUGUAGCGGUGAAAUGCUUAGAUAUGACAUAGAACACCAAUUGCGAAGGCAGCUUACUACAUAUAAAUUGACGCUGAGGCACGAAAGCGUGGGGAUCAAACA